GUGCCAGCCGCCGCGGUAAGACAGAGGGUGCAAACGUUGUUCGGAAUUACUGGGCGUAAAGCGCGUGUAGGCGGCUCGGAAAGUCGGAUGUGAAAGCCCUGGGCUCAACCUAGGAAGUGCAUUCGAAACUUCUGAGCUUGAGUAUCGGAGAGGAAGGCGGAAUUCUCGGUGUAGAGGUGAAAUUCGUAGAUAUCGAGAGGAACACCGGUGGCGAAGGCGGCCUUCUGGACGAAAACUGACGCUGAGACGCGAAAGCGUGGGGAGCAAACAGGAUUAGAUACCCCCGUAGUCC
rnacentral:rRNA from 1 species